rnacentral:rRNA from 1 species
CCCUUAGAUGUCCUGGGCCGCACGCGCGCUACACUGAUGCAUUCAACGAGUUCUACCUUGGCCGAGAGGCCUGGGCAAUCUUUUGAACCUGCAUCGUGAUAGGGAUAGAUUAUUGCAAUUAUUAAUCUUGAACGGGGAAUUCCUAGUAAACGCAGAUCAUCAAUCUGCAUUGAUUACGUCCCUGCCCUUUGUACACACCGCCCGUCGCACCUACCGAUUGAAUGGUCCGGUGAAGCCUCGGGAUUGUGGCGAGUUCCCUUUAUUGGGAGUUUGUCGCGAGAACUUGUCUAAACCUUAUCAUUUAGAGGAAGGUGAAGUCGUAACA